rnacentral:rRNA from 1 species
UAUCUCUGUAGAGUCUGCAUAUCAAUAAGCGGAGGAAAAGAAACUAACAAGGAUUCCCUUAGUAACGGCGAGUGAAGCGGGAAGAGCUCAAAUUUGAAAUCUUCAAGGUUCUACCUUGACGAAUUGUAGUUUAAAGAAGUGUUUUCUGUUAGAUGAGUAGCAAAAGUUCCUUGGAAUGGGACAUCAUAGAGGGUGAGAAUCCCGUAUUUGACCGUUACUUUCCAGCUGUGUGAUACACUUUCAAAGAGUCGGAUUGUUUGGGAAUGCAGUCCAAGAUGGGUGGUAAAUUUCAUCUAAAGCUAAAUAUUGGCGAGAGACCGAUAGCGAACAAGUACCGUGAGGGAAAGAUGAAAAGAACUUUGAAAAGAGAGUUAAACAGUACGUGAAAUUGUCAAAAGGGAAGCGUUUGACACCAGUGUUGUUUUUCCCAAAAUCAAUUACGAAUGGCUUGAUUUUGUGUUGUAUUGACCUUAUCAGCUUUCUGCACUUUUUUCGAGUCUUUCUUAAUGCACUUUUCGGUUAACAAGUCAACAUCAAUUUCUUUUGUUGUAAAAGAGUAUUCGGAAGGUGGCUUUCUUUUCGGAGAAAGUGUUUAUAGCCCUAUACUUCUACAAUCGGAGAGAUUGAGGUCCGCAGCGUAGAUCCUUCGGGGCUAGAUACAUUUAUGCUAAGUUAUAGCUUUUCAUAGACAACUUGUUGACUAUGUUUAGUCAUGUAGCUUACUCGUAAGUGCUAUUUUACCUACGCUUAGGAUGUUGACUGAUAUGUAGUCGUA